GAUGAAGAACGCAGCGAAAUGCGAUAAAUAAUGUGAAUUGCAGAAUUCAGUGAAUCAUCGAGUCUUUGAACGCACAUUGCGCCCCCUGGUAUUCCGGGGGGCAUGCCUGUCCGAGCGUCAUUGCUGCCCUCAAGCACGGCUUGUGUGUUGGGCCCCCGUCCCCCCCUCCCGGGGGACGGGCCCGAAAGGCAGCGGCGGCACCGCGUCCGGUCCUCGAGCGUAUGGGGCUUUGUCACCCGCUCUGUAGGCCCGGCCGGCGCCUGCCGACCACCAUCAAUCUUUUUUCAGGUUGACCUCGGAUCAGGUAGGGAUACCCGCAGAACUUAAGCAUAUCAAUAAGCGGAGGA
rnacentral:misc_RNA from 1 species